rnacentral:tRNA from 2 species
GCGCCCGUAGUCCAACGGAUAGAACAUAAGCUUGCGGAGCUUAAGAUCGAGGUUCGAUUCCUCGCGGGCGCA